GCCAGGCAUGGUGGCGUAUGCCUGUAAUCCCAGCUACUUGGGAGGCUGAGGCAGGAGAAUUGCUUGAGCUCCAGAGGCGGAGGUUGCAGUGAGCUGAGAUCCUGCCAUUGCACUCCAGCCUGGGUGACAAGAGUGAAACUCCGUCUCCAAUAAUAAUAAUAAUAAUACAUAAGUAAAUUUUUAAUUAAAAAAUAAAAUUUUUAUUUAUUUAUUUAUUUUUUGAGUCAGAGUCUCACUCUGUCAUCCAGGCUGGAGUGCAGUGGCAUCAUCUCAGCUCGCUGCAACCUCCGCCUCUGGAGCUCAAGCAAUUCUCCUGCCUCAG
rfam:Gorilla gorilla gorilla genomic chromosome, chr22, whole genome shotgun sequence